GAUCAUGGCUCAGGAUUAACGCUAGCGACAGGCCUAACACAUGCAAGUCGAGGGGCAGCGGAGAGGUAGCAAUACCUUUGCCGGCGACCGGCGCAUGGGUGAGUAACACGUAUGCAAUCCACCUGUAACAGGGGGAUAACCCGGAGAAAUCCGGACUAAUACCCCAUAAUAUGGGCGUUCCGCAUGGAGAGCUCAUUAAAGAGAGCAAUUUUGGUUACAGACGAGCAUGCGCU
rnacentral:rRNA from 1 species